UACGUAGGUCCCGAGCGUUGUCCGGAUUUAUUGGGUUUAAAGGGAGCGUAGGCGGGUUGUUAAGUCAGUUGUGAAAGUUUGCGGCUCAACCGUAAAAUUGCAGUUGAUACUGGCAUCCUUGAGUACAGUAGAGGUAGGCGGAAUUCGUGGUGUAGCGGUGAAAUGCUUAGAUAUCACGAAGAACUCCGAUUGCGAAGGCAGCCUGCUGGACUGUAACUGACGCUGAUGCUCGAAAGUGUGGGUAUCAAACAGG
rnacentral:rRNA from 1 species